CCUAUAAUACAUAAUUAAUGCACUGGAUCCAAUUAGAAAUCCACAGUUAAGCACACUUAGGAUAGAGUAUUAUUGGGAUGGGUGACCUCUCAGAAAGUCCUAGUGUUUUACAUGC
rnacentral:rRNA from 1 species